GGGCAUAUGGCAUAGUGGUUAACAGCCAGGUUCAAAAUUUACUGUCUGCGUAAGUUCAAAUCUUACUACACCCA
rnacentral:tRNA from 1 species